rnacentral:misc_RNA from 1 species
CCAAUGAUUGGGAACCAGUUGAGGUUGAUAGAUCUCCUGGUUGCUAAAAUCAAAUACCCAUCUUUGUGCACCUUUUUUAUGUCUCUGGUGGUCGCAAGAGAAGUCUCUUAUUUGGAGGAUCUCUUCUAGUUCAUUUUGAUCCUCGGACAAAUGAAUGAAGCCACCAAAUGGUUGCUAUAACACACUUUUUUGCCGUCCAAAAUAUCUGUCUAACAUUGAUUUGUGUAAAAUACAUAAAA